UGCGUCCUGCCCGGUACGCGGACACGCCGCUUAUGCCCCUACUACGUUAUGAUAAAGGGAGCCUCUCUCCGUUGUCGGAUCGCAGACCUCCCCGCUUGGCGGGACGUUGGGAGCAAUGAAGACAACGGGCGGCACCCACCUGCACGUUCGGUAGCAGGUCAUCACAGCGGCAAUACGGCCGGGCGGGGCUUUU
rnacentral:other from 1 species